UACGGAGGAUCCGAGCGUUAUCCGGAUUUAUUGGGUUUAAAGGGUGCGUAGGUGGCCUGUUAAGUCAGUGGUGAAAGCCUUCAGCUUAACUGAAGAACUGCCAUUGAUACUGAUGAUCUUGAGUAUGAUUGAGGUGGGCGGAAUGUGUCAUGUAGCGGUGAAAUGCUUAGAUAUGACACAGAACACCGAUUGCGAAGGCAGCUCACUAAGCCAUAACUGACGCUGAUGCACGAAAGCGUGGGGAGCAAACAGG
rnacentral:rRNA from 1 species